UUUGAAGGUGAAGAAGAUAUGAUGAAUGGAAUUCCAUUGUGUGCUUCAAAAACAGCAUUGAUAAUAAAGCUAAAAGGUGAUAUACAUAUUAUGAUUUCACCUUUAAUGCUAGAAAGUUUAAAAAGUUUUAUUGAUGUAAUAACUCCAACAUUGGCUGGACUUCAUCCACUUACAAUAAUUAAUCAUCUACAUGUUAUGUGUUCUCAUAAUGUCCAACAGCAAAAUCAAUUAAAAAAAGAAAAAGUACUUCAAUUAGCACAAUU